rnacentral:rRNA from 1 species
CCAGACUCCUACGGGAGGCAGCAGUGGGGAAUAUUGCACAAUGGGGGAAACCCUGAUGCAGCGACGCCGCGUGAGUGAAGAAGUAUUUCGGUAUGUAAAGCUCUAUCAGCAGGGAAGAAAAUGACGGUACCUGACUAAGAAGCCCCGGCUGACUACGUGCCAGCAGCCGCGGUAAUACGUAGGGGGCAAGCGUUAUCCGGAUUUACUGGGUGUAAAGGGAGCGUAGACGGCAUGGCAAGUCAGAUGUGAAAGCCCGGGGCUCAACCCCGGGACUGCAUUUGAAACUGUCAGGCUGGAGUGCAGGAGAGGUAAGUGGAAUUCCUAGUGUAGCGGUGAAAUGCGUAGAUAUUAGGAGGAACACCAGUGGCGAAGGCGGCCUGCUGGACGAUGACUGACGUUGAGGCUCGAAAGCGUGGGGAGCAAACAGGAUUAGAUACCCCAGUAUUG